GAUGAACGCUGGCGGCGUGCCUAAUACAUGCAAGUCGAGCGAACAGACGAGGAGCUUGCUCCUCUGACGUUAGCGGCGGACGGGUGAGUAACACGUGGAUAACCUACCUAUAAGACUGGGAUAACUUCGGGAAACCGGAGCUAAUACCGGAUAAUAUAUUGAACCGCAUGGUUCAAUAGUGAAAGACGGUUUUGCUGUCACUUAUAGAUGGAUCCGCGCCGCAUUAGCUAGUUGGUAAGGUAACGGCUUACCAAGGCAACGAUGCGUAGCCGACCUGAGAGGUGGAUCGGCCCCCUUGGACAUAGACCCGGGCCCGGCUCCCUAGGGGAGGCACAAGGGGGGAAUUUUCGGAAAGGGGCGAAACCCUAACGGAGCAACGCGGGGGGAUUGAAGAAGUUUUUGGGAUCGUAAACCCCUGUUUUUGGGAAAGAACAAAUUUGAAAAUAACAAUGCCGGUUUUGACGGACCCUAAACAGAAAGCCACGGCUAACUACGU
rnacentral:rRNA from 1 species